UACCAGCACCCCGAGUGGUCGGGACGAUUAUUGGGCCUAAAGCAUCCGUAGCCGGUCCUACAAGUCUUCCGUUAAAUCCACCUGCUUAACAGAUGGGCUGCGGAAGAUACUAUAGGGCUAGGAGGCGGGAGAGGCAAGCGGUACUCAGUGGGUAGGGGUAAAAUCCUCUGAUCCAUUGAAGACCACCAGUGGCGAAGGCGGCUUGCCAGAACGCGCUCGACGGUGAGGGAUGAAAGCUGGGGGAGCAAACCAG
rnacentral:rRNA from 1 species